rnacentral:rRNA from 1 species
GAUGAACGCUGGCGGCGUGCCUAAUACAUGCAAGUCGAGCGAACAGACGAGGAGCUUGCUCCUCUGACGUUAGCGGCGGACGGGUGAGUAACACGUGGAUAACCUACCUAUAAGACUGGGAUAACUUCGGGAAACCGGAGCUAAUACCGGAUAAUAUAUUGAACCGCAUGGUUCAAUAGUGAAAAACGGUUUUGCUGUCACUUAUAGAUGGAUCCGCGCUGCAUUAGCUAGUUGGUAAGGUAACGGCUUACCAAGGCAACGAUGCGUAGCCGACCUGAGAGGGUGAUCGGCCACACUGGAACGGAGACACGGUCCAGACUCCUACGGGAGGCAGCAGUAGGGAAUCUUCCGCAAUGGGCGAAAGCCUGACGGAGCAACGCCGCGUGAGUGAUGAAGGUCUUCGGAUCGUAAAACUCUGUUAUUAGGGAAGAACAAAUGUGUAAGUAACUAUGCACGUCUUGACGGUACCUAAUCAGAAAGCCACGGCUAACUACGUG